GCUUUCUUUGCCUAUAUUAACGCCAUCUAGAAAGCCCUUGUUUUCAACUUGCUCCUGUCCAUGGUCUGUAAUAGAUGAGAGAAACGGAGAGUCCUAGCAAGUCUUUGGAGAUGGGAGAGUAUGCAAGAAGAAAAAAUUCAUGAUUUAAUAUUCCUUCUUGCCUACUCCUCCCAUUCCAUCUGCUUUCUGCGACUCCUCUCUUUCCUUAUUCUAGACAAAAGCGUGAUCUAAAAUUAAUCGAGGAGCAAGAGGGAAAGGAAAGAGGGUUGCUGGGAGUUACGGGUAUGGGAGGAUUGGACAGGACUGCUUGGUUUUAAUUAACCGAAGUCUGUUCUUUCCAACGCCUCCCAUACCGGUGAUCUCCAGCUGCUUCCUCCCUUUCCCUUGCUUGUCCUACUUCAGAUCCUUCAGUUUGGUGACAAAAGCGAGUUGUUGGUUAUGAGUAUCGUUGAAAAGAUUAGAGGAAGUUUUGAUCUGUUGGUAGAUCUGAGUAAAUCAUUUGUCUAUCUAGCUAGAUUUAACAUUAGCAACUGAUAAAUCAUGUGUUUUGAAAUGUGAACUGUGAUGUUCACAACAUAUCUGUUCGCGCCUCUUCUAUUUCGGGGAUGCUGUCUCAGUUGGUUCUAUACUGCAGUUCUGGAUUAGCUCUGAUGUUCCUUGAUCUGUUCUUUGAAUUUGGAAUUUAUUUUGAGCA